CGUGAAGCUCUGUCUCGAGGGUGCAGAAGUAGCAGUAUUGCAAUAGACAAUGUCUCAGAGGAUAGAAGGUUUCUGGCAAAUCAGGUAUCAGAAUUCUCCAGGAGGCCAAUACCAUCACAUUCCUCAUCCAAUAGCAGCAGCUUCUGUAGCGCCCACGGCAGUGAGAGCUCCCCUGAGGACAAGAUAAUGGACGGCCCCUUAAAGUGACAGCUUCUCAUAGGUCAUAUGCUUGUGAAGAUAUCAUGAUUUAACAGGAUGUCAUUGGCCAUUUUAAGAAGACCUGGGAUUCAGGAGAUCCCACACCAAUCUCAGCUGCAAAUAUAUAACGUUACCCCUUUCCUAUUGGUAUGGAACCAUUUAAAAAAGUUCUCUGUCAUACAACACAUCAACUAAUGUCCAUUUCUGCAUAAUAAAUAAACAUAAAUCAGUCCACAGACUAU